rnacentral:lncRNA from 1 species
CGAGCAUACUACAUAAUCUUUCCAAUUUUCACUAAAAUUAUCUCACAACUCAUUUGCAGGCUAUAAGGAACUGGAUUUAGAGAGGGCCUACCAAAUAGAGAUUUCUUUUACAGUAAAACCUAUUUCUCUCGGUAAUGCUACACUUUCAAAUUUGAAAAUUUCGUGAGAUAAUCGCUUGAAGAAAACCUUAAUUGAUUGUUGAUCUUGAUUGAAAACUGUUGAUUUCAGCAAGCUAACUCUCAAAGAGUUUAAAAAGGAGGAGCAUGAGCAGUAUGUAUAUCUUUUUCUUUUUUCUUAAUUUUUUAUAAAUGAUUUGGGGGUAAACAUUGAACCUUAUAUCUCCUCCAUCCACCAAUAUCAAUUUCCAUCUUUGUUCUUCCACUUCCUUUCCACCUCUCUCUGGUACUUUUUAAUUUAAAAAUGUAUCUGUAAAUUUUUUUCUGAAUUUUAUUUGCUUUCUGCAGUGUUUCGAAUCUUCCGAUUGCAUCAGAAAUGAAUUAAUAUCUGCACAUUUGAUUUUUCAUUUACUGGCUUUUUUCUGGUAAUGGGUUUUAUUCAUGAACAUUCUCAUAGCUGCAAAUUUGAUUAAUUGUUUUUUGAACCUUUGGAUGUUACCAAGAUUUGAUUUUUGCUAAAGGAUCUAUCUAAUUACAUUGGUUUGUGUUUUUUUUUAGUUGAUCUUUCUUUUAAUUUAAUCAUCUUGAAAUAAAAUUGGAAUAACUGCAUGUUUUCCUUUCACAGUUUACUUUUGAAGUUUUUGGAUAGAUUGACUUGACCUUCACAUUUCUGUGAAUUUUUGCGUUAGUUGGUAUGCCUUUCUUCCUUAUCAUACUACACAAAGUGUGACAGCCCGUCCUAGAUAUUUUUAUCGGUGGUGUGGAAUGACUAAAGUACCCCUAGACGUUGUGUAGUAGUGUGGUUUAAGUUUGGGUUUUAUACUAAGCUAGUUAGUUUCUCAGUUUUUGGAACUUAAAGUUAGUGGUUUUGUUGUGUUAGUAAACCAAAAUUGGACCACACACUUUCACACACCCAUACCCUUACCAGUUGAUCUUUCUCUCUCCUCCCUCUCUUGAACUUCUUUCCAUUUCCGUACGAUUGUACGGACAAACUUCAAACCAUAUCAUUUCUUCACGGAUCAAGGUUUUGGAAGCCAUCUUUGUGUUCCUUGUGAACUCAGGAACACAUCCAUACCAUUUUUAGAACGUGAGAGCUUGUAAAACCCGAGAACCCAUAAUCUCAUAUUUGGGUCACUGUUCAUGCAGUCGUAAACGUGGACCUUUCAGCGAGUUUUAAGGUCAUAGGAAGCCUUAAAACAUCUUCACGAAGCUCGGGGAAUAACUUUUGAGUGAUUUGGACGUCGAGAGGCUCGAGUUCAACGAGUUGCAGUUUUGGCCGGAUUAUCAAGGUUUCUCCGGCGAGAUUCCGUGGAUUUUAGAACUUAAAAUUGGUAAGGUUUGUUCUACUCGUUGUAAGCUUCAUUUUGAGACAAAUUUCAUGAAGUUUGGUUAAGAAAUAAAGAAGAUAUAAAGGUUUCAAUAUUUUUCCAGUUUUCGGCGAUCGUAGCAGCACCGGCGCCGGACUCCGACGAACCAAGGAAGAAGGAGGAGAAUAUUCCAUCAAAGUUGACGGAAUAUUCUAACGCCGUCAGGUAAUUCUAAAGGUAUAUGCGGUUUUUUAACAGAAUAUUCCCUAACACCGUUAGGGAAUCCGUUUGUGUGCCAGGCAAGUGCCUGCGCGUGAGCUGCACGUCUGGCCGUGCAAUGUAUGAGAAGUUAUGGUGGUAUAUGUUUCUAAAAAUAUGGGGAUGUUCUUGAGGUUGAGUAGGUCAUGGUGGUAUAUUAAAAUACCCCAUUUUAACAAUGUAUGAGAAGUUACUUCCUAGUUUUAUGUAUGUACUUUAAAUAACGUUUAUUUAGUUAUUUCGCAUAUAGGUGAGACCUAUUCGGAGGACGAGCGCUAUCAAUCGAGGUUCGGGGGCUACGACCCUUCGACAUAUCAGUGAGUGGCCUUUUGGUUUUUCAUAUAUACCUAUAUAUACUUGAGAUUUUUCUCAAAAAAUAAAAUUUAAUGAUUAUACGUUUUGAAAUGCCAUGCAAAGUAUCUGCCUACUUUAUUUAUGCACUGCAUAUGUUUAUGAUUGGUGUUGUGGACGCACAGGUAAAGGCCAGGUAAGUUCAUGAAUUAAAGAUAUGAGAUUAAUUCAGUUAUGCGAGAUAUGAUGUGAUAUAUUGAGAGCUUAUAAACCUGCACCUCGGUGUUAGUGCUCCCGCCCAGAGUUAGGGCACAGUCAUUCAUGUGAUGUUCACCUCCCCCACCAUAUGCUCACCUUGGAUCCAAGUUAGGUGCACAGGCUUGUUGUACAGACCACAUUAGGUGGUUCCGGCUUGUAGGUGACCCGUGAUUUAUCGCACAACCUUUAAGUGAUUGUAGCAUUAUAGCAUAUUUAUUUUAGACCUAGUCUAGUCGUACAGACCACUUUAGGUGGUUCCGACUCGUGUGUAGAAUUUGAUAUGAUUGAGAUUGGUUAUGAGUUAUAUACUUAGCCGUACAAGUAUUUUAGUUGGAUUCGGCUGAUAUGAUAUCUAGCAUUGAUAUAUUUUAGUUGGAUUACUUAUGGCAUUUCAUUGAGAUACUUUGGCAUGGUAUAUUCCUAUGGAUUUUCAUCCUGAGCAUGAUAUUUGAUAUAGCAUAUAUUAUAUUUCUGGAAAAUUAUACAGGUUUUACGGCGAGGGGUUCAAACUUUUGAGAAAUGAGAUGAUUUUGAAAAACUUUGUUUAUGCCCACUCACACUUUCAGUUUUGUGCCCCUCUAGGUUUUAGGUAGAAGUGCUUUGGUGGCUCACGAGGAUUUCGACGGUGGUUCUGACAGAACAUCACAAAUGUAGGAUCACCUUUGGGUGUUAUAUCUAGUACUUGUUCAGUCGGACAGCACUUAGGCAAUUUAUGCUCUGAUUGUGUAUUUCACACUUAAUUUCGCACUUGCACCUUAUCUUAAUUAGUACUGCUAAUAGUUGGAUUUUUUAUUUAUUCAUAUUUCUCUAUAUCAAUUUUGCUUUCGCACUAUGCACAUUGUUACGUGACUCUCACGUGACGACCAGCAUGCUAUGAUUCAGGUCGGGGUGUGUCAUAAAGGGUGAUGAACAAAUGGGGGGAAUUUGUGUCUAAAAUUACCUUCUCGAUGUUAUAUGUUUCCUUAUUAUUGAAGUCAUGGUAUUCUAUAGUUGCAGUUGGUUAGGUGCUUACGAUCUUUUGCAGGAAACAUCAAAUGUAUAAACUCUCUGUACCAUCAAAUGUAUAAUUAACUUUAUAUUUUGACUUUCAAGUUGUUUUGUGUUUUGGUACCAAUACUUGAUGUUUCAGUUGGCACCUCAGUCCUCCCCCUCAAUUAUUUCAGUUGGCACCUCAGUCAUCCCCCUCUUUUUUAUCCUACAACUUACUAUGUUGUCAUGUUUUCUUUUUUCGGGCUCUUUCGAAUUUUAUAAAUCUGAUUCAAGUUAUUAAAACACAUACAAUUCAUGUUUUUUUAUGGUUUUACAGACUCAUUGGUUGCAGACCUAUUCAUCGGUGAUCGAAGAAAAGGAAAGGUGGGAAAGUCCAUUCUUGCUGUAGAGGUCAUGUUGGCAGUGAGCCUUGAAGAAAACGAAAGGUGAGAAUAGCAGAACAAUUGGCUUUUUUUUCUUUUAGCACCGAGUUAUUUCCAAAAAUUCCCCUAACCUUAAUUACCAUUGGCACUUUCGACACUUUCAAAAUGUGUUUGCAUUUUAUGAAUGGCCUUCUAUGUUAUACAUGCAAAUAGUUAUAGUUAUCAGAACAUCUAUCUGAUGUUUUCUACCUCAUCCAACAGCUUAAUUACACUCCCACUAUUUUGGUUAGAAGUUAAUUAGAAGAGUCUUCAUUCCAUCGACAUCCUUUCCUUUACAAUUUAUGCUGAAAAUUAAUUGCAACAUGUAAUAUGAAAGGUUUAGUUGACAUGUUAACUUUCAGAAGCAUGAGAUGAUCAACAUUAAAUGUGCAUGAUACCUUUUUUUUAUCCUACUGGGUUGUCUUCAUCUUCAGUGCAAGAGGGUAAACCAAUUCCCCAACACCCAUUUGGGUCUGCCCUCCAGUAGGAAAGGAUAAACUAAUUGCUCUCCAGUGUGAGAGGGUAAACCAAUUCUCCGACACCCAUAUGGGUCUGCUCUCCAAUGCGAUAGGGUAAACCAAUUCCUCGACACCCAUAUGGGUAAUCUCUCCAGUACAAGAGGGUAAACUAAUUGCUCUUCAGUGCGAAAGGGUAAACUAAUUGCUCUCCAGUGUGUGAGGGUAAACUAAUUCCCCGACACCCAGCUAGGUAAGCUCUCCAGUGAGAGAAGGCCACAUAGCUCAAAAGAUUAAAUGCUUAAAGACCAACUAGGCAGCGAAUGGUCAGAGGGCAACAACCACUUUGCAAUCAACAGUUCACUUAUUCGUCACUUCAUCUUUAGCAUCUUCGAUCUUGGCAGCUCCAUCUACAGCAUCUGAGAAAUCAAACUCGAGCAGUUUCCUCAUUUUUGGCAAGCAACCCAGACGAGGCAACCCAAACCGUGGCCUAUGUCGAGCUAGUCCUUACCUUCAGUCAAGCCGGCAUAAGCAAUGGCCCUUGCCACACUACCUCCUUGGCCCAUGCUAAGCCAACUCUUGGCCCCUACUAGCCAACGUGCCGCACCAUCCCAACGGUUGCCCCGUGGUAGCACCACCCAAAAAGAAGACAAGGAGAAUUAAGUUUUUCUUACAUCGGUGCGACGCAUAGAAGACAAAGAAAUCAAAGGAAGACGGUUCUUUACACAGGCAAGCAAAGAAGAGUGUUAGGGGAGGGGGAACAAAUAUCCUCUAGUUUUCUCUCCUUCUUGUAAGGACAAAUAGUUAUCCUUCGAAGUUGAUUUAAUCCCCUACUUAAGGUAGGCUUAAAUAGGCUUUGGAUGCGAUUUAUUUCCCUUUCCUAGAAAAAUCUAAUUCCAAGUCCAAGUGAGAAUCUGCAUCAAAACUGGAGUAGACCUGCUGCCCUUUCUUGUGAGCAGCCCAAUAGGUGUGGGUGGGGGCAUUUGUGAAGUAAAAAAUAAUCAAGAAAAUUAUGGAGGCGACACAUAUACUUUCAGGUGAAAAAGGACAAUAUUACCCUCAAGGCACACCUGAACUUCUACACGCAAGCAGCAGACAAUCAUGGCACAAUCAAGGUCAAAAGUGAUCAAAAUAUGUAUUUGUUCAAAACCUAUUUCAUCCAUCCUCAUCAAAUCCUCCCCACAAGGUAACCUUCAAUUAUUCAUUCAAAAUAGGAUUAAUUACCUAAAUUAAUUGAUUAAUUUCCUAAUUAAUUAAUUAAUUAUCUAAUUAGUUUCCUAAUUGAUUGCAAGAUAUUAUUUUGACAUAAUAUCUUGCAAUUACACAAAAAAAACCACCAUAUGUGGCUGAUUCCCAUCUCUCCAAAGGGGGCCGGCCACACCCCUAUAAAUACCACCUCAUUUCUCCAAAAACCUAAUUCCAACUCUCUAGCAAAAUUCUCCAAAAUUCUCUACACUUUUCCCUCAAAUUCUAACUUUGGCAUCGAAGGUUCUUUGGCAAAAGUCCCCCCCCCCCAAUUCAUCGUGGGCAUGCGAGGCUUUUGGCCUUGGCCUAAGGUGUUAAUUGUUUUGUAGGUGCAUUUUCGUCCAAGAAGGAGAAGGCGGAAAUUUGCAUCCACAAUAAUGCAUACACAAUUUAUGUAGAAUCUAAAAUUCGAAAAACGUAAAGUUGGGUCAUGCAAUGCUCAUGCUAUCAGGGCUACAAAAAUAUCGAGAUAAAAACCGUUGUUUUGAAAGAACCUGAUUGUGUGAUAAUAUUGAUGAACUGGUUUGAUGCCGAAAACUUCCACAUCAUAUUCCUAAGCGCAUCGGUAGGAGCGUGCUGAUAACGUGUUGUGGUCUAUAUUUAACUGACGGGGAAAAGGGGCCGGAGAAAAUAUAGAGAGAGAUGUGUUUGUAAGAUUGUAUAGAGGAUGUGUUAUUCCCCGCAUUUAUUCAUUUCAUUAGUUUGAUAUUUUCAUUUAGCUUCGUGUUCACCGAUGAUGGUGCUGCUGUUCAUGAAAAAAUCAAACAUAUUAUUACAUGCACAUUCGAUAAACCAAACCAACACGUGCGGUAAUUUUUGAUUGUUUCCGUCGAAGCUGACCCAACAAGCAAGCAAAGAUACACAUGUUUGUUUGAUCCAUUCUACCAAUUGAAGGCAAGAUUUUGCAACUAUUUUCACAACCAAGGUAUAAAAUAUCGAUGAUAUCGGAAAUAUCGGUAGUUCAAAAAUACGGAAAUUUCGAUAGAAAUACCGGGAUAUUAUCGAUAUCGAUAAAAAUUGAAUAAAAACCACGGAAAUUGUAAGAAAAACUUGGAAAUUUUUAUUGAAACUUUGCAGGAUGUUUAUUUAGUCAAUUAUUUAUUAGUUUAUCACAAAAAAAUUG